rnacentral:rRNA from 1 species
GACGAACGCUGGCGGCGUGCUUAACACAUGCAAGUCGAACGGGGAUUAGAUGAUUGAGAGCUUCGGCAGGAUUGAUUCUAAUUCCAGUGGCGGACGGGUGAGUAACGCGUGAGCAACCUGUCCCAGACAGGGGGAUAACACUUGGAAACAGGUGCUAAUACCGCAUAAGACCACGGGGUCACAUGGCACUGAGGUAAAAGGAGGAAUCCGGUUUGGGGUGGCUCGCGUCCGAUUAGAUAGUUGGUGAGGUAACGGCCCACCAAAGUCGACGAUCGGUAGCCGACCUGAGAGGGUGAUCGGCCACAUUGGAACUGAGAGACGGUCCAA